rnacentral:tRNA from 1 species
GGGGAUGUAGCUCAAUGGUAGAGCACAGGUUCAGCAUGCAUAAGGCCCUGGGUUCAUAUCCCAGUGUCAUUU